AUUGAACGCUGGCGGCAGGCUUAACACAUGCAAGUCGAGCGGAGAUGAGGUGCUUGCACCUUAUCUUAGCGGCGGACGGGUGAGUAAUGCUUAGGAAUCUGCCUAUUAGUGGGGGACAACAUUCCGAAAGGAAUGCUAAUACCGCAUACGUCCUACGGGAGAAAGCAGGGGAUCUUCGGACCUUGCGCUAAUAGAUGAGCCUAAGUCGGAUUAGCUAGUUGGUGGGGUAAAGGCCGACCAAGGCGACGAUCUGUAGCGGGUCUGAGAGGAUGAUCAGCCACACUGGGACUGAGACACGGCCCAGACUCCUACGGGAGGCAGCAGUGGGGAAUAUCGGACAAUGGGGGGAACCCUGAUCCAGCCAUGCCGCGUGUGUGAAGAAGGCCUUAUGGUUGUAAAGCACUUUAAGCGAGGAGGAGGCUACUGAGACUAAUACUCUUGGAUAGUGGACGUUACUCGCAGAAUAAGCACCGGCUAACUCUGUGCCAGCCGCCGCGGUAAUAC
rnacentral:rRNA from 1 species